GAAGCGGAUCGCGUGGAGUGAAGGUCCUACCACGGCGCGUGAGUUUUGCUCUGCCUUGGAUUAAGUCUGCACUUCCCAGGUCCCCGGCGCUUCUGCCCCUGGGACGUGGGAUCCCCACGGACCUGGAAAUUCUCGCCUGUCUUCCCUUCACCCAGAGCAAAUUGAGACGUCCCGGGUUGAAGCGAUUCUCUUGUGAUACUUCCCCCGAGUAGCUGGGAUUACUGGCAUGCGCCACCACGCCCUGCUAAUUUUGGAUUAGGAGGCUGAGGCAGAAGAAUCACUUGAACCCGGGAGGCAGAGGUUGUGGUGAGCUGAGAUCGCACCAUUGGACUUCAGCGUGGGCAACAAGAGCGAAACUCCGUCUAAAAAACAAACAAACAAACAAAAAACAAAAAAGAAUGGAGCAAAACAGGAGAGGGGCAUAAAAUGAGCAGAAGUCCAGGGGGAAAUGCAGAAAAGAAACAGAUGGAGAGAGAAGGUGAGAAAGAGCUAUGUAUAGAAUGCCGAAGGGAGGCCAGGUGCAGUGGCUCACGCUUGUAAUCCCAGCACUUUGGGAGGCCGAGGCGGGCGGAUCACUAGGUCAGGAGAUUGAGACCGUCC
rnacentral:lncRNA from 10 species